rnacentral:rRNA from 1 species
UACGGGAGGCAGCAGUAAGGAAUAUUGGUCAAUGGACGCAAGUCUGAACCAGCCAUGCCGCGUGGAGGAUGAAGGCCCUCUGGGUUGUAAACUUCUUUUAUAUGGGACGAAAAAGGGUCUUUCCAGAUCAACUGACGGUACCAUUUGAAUAAGCACCGGCUAACUCCGUGCCAGCAGCCGCGGUAAUACGGAGGGUGCAAGCGUUAUCCGGAUUCACUGGGUUUAAAGGGUGCGUAGGUGGGUUGAUAAGUCAGUGGUGAAAUCUCCGAGCUUAACUUGGAAACUGCCAUUGAUACUAUUGGUCUUGAAUAUUGUGGAGGUCAGCGGAAUAUGUCAUGUAGCGGUGAAAUGCUUAGAGAUGACAUAGAACACCAAUUGCGAAGGCAGCUGGCUACACAUAUAUUGACACUGAGGCACGAAAGCGUGGGGAUCAAACAGGAUUAGAUACCCUGGUAG